UACGUAGGGGGCAAGCGUUGUCCGGAUUUAUUGGGCGUAAAGAGCGUGUAGGCGGCCAGACAGGUCAGCUGUGAAAACUCGAGGCUCAACCUCGAGACGUCGGUUGAAACCGUCUGGCUAGAGUCCGGAAGAGGAGAGUGGAAUUCCCGGUGUAGCGGUGAAAUGCGCAGAUAUCGGGAAGAACACCCGUGGCGAAGGCGGCUCUCUGGGACGGUACUGACGCUGAGACGCGAAAGCGUGGGAGCGAACGAGG
rnacentral:rRNA from 1 species